UUGAACUAGAGAGAAUAAAACACACUUUUGCUUGUAACUAGUGUUAGGAGUAAGAUUAGAUUAGAAGAGUUGUACUGUAAUAAAGGGGAUGAUUUAAGGAUCGUUUCUUUUAAAUUUCAUGAAUAAACAAGGAUUAGGGACAAAGUUAUAAGCAUUCAAAGGUGUUGAACCAUUGAACUAGAGAGAAUAAAACACACUUUUGCUUGUAACUAGUGUUAGGAGUAAGAUUAGAUUAGAAGAGUUGUACUGUAAUAAAGGGGAUGAUUUAAGGAUCGUUUCUUUUAAAUUUCAUGAAUAAACAAGGAUUAGGGACAAAGUUAUAAGCAUUCAAAGGUGUUGAACCAUUGAACUAGAGAGAAUAAAACACACUUUUGCUUGUAACUAGUGUUAGGAGUAAGAUUAGAUUAGAAGAGUUGUACUGUAAUAAAGGGGAUGAUUUAAGGAUCGUUUCUUUUAAAUUUCAUGAAUAAACAAGGAUUAGGGACAAAGU